rnacentral:rRNA from 1 species
CUGCUGCCUCCCGUAGGAGUCUGGUCCGUGUCUCAGCACCAGUGUGGGGGACCUUCCUCUCAGAACCCCUAGACAUCGUCGCCUUGGUGGGCCGUUACCCCGCCAACUAGCUAAUGUCACGCAUGCCCAUCCGUCUCCGGAGUCGCCUCCUUUGGCCGAAAGAAGAUGCCUCCCCUCGGCCACAUGCGGUAUUAGGCCGGAUUUCUCCGGGUUAUCCCGCUGAAACGGGCAGGUUGCAUACGCGUUACUCACCCGUGCGCCGG